rnacentral:rRNA from 1 species
CAAUAGCGUAUAUUAACGUUGUUGCAGUUAAAAAGCUCGUAGUUGGAUUUCUGGAGGGAGCGUCGGCCCGUAUUUACGAGUGCGUGACGUCUCUGUCCAUCCUUGCGGGAAGGCACGGCAUUGAUUUGUUGUGUCGGAUCGCAUCAUUUACUGUGAAAAAAUUAGAGUGUUCAAAGCAGGCUUUCGCUUGAAUACAUUAGCAUGGAAUAAUAAGAUAGGACUUUGGUGCUAUUUUGUUGGUUGAGCCCAAAGUAAUGAUUAAUAGGGAUAGUUGGGGGCACCUGUAUUGCGUUGUCAGAGGUGAAAUUCUUGGAUUUACGCAAGACAAACAGCUGCGAAAGCGUCUGCCAAGGAUGUUUUCAUUA